rnacentral:tRNA from 6 species
GGGCGGUUAACUCAGCUGGUAGAGUGUCAUCUUGACGUGGUGAAAGUCGUAGGUUCGAGUCCUAUACCGCCCACCA